UAUUCCCGAUACUUUUCCGACGUCGUUCGCGAACGAUUUUCCUUUCGCUCUAAUUAACGAAGUUUAAGGGAGCUAAUUACAGAGGCGAGCUUCGAUCCGCUAACUUACGAUCCGGCUAAACUAAACCAUAACGGAUAAAAGUAAGAUAAGAAAAAUUCGACACUCGGAUAAACAACGCAAAGACGAAGUAGUUCUGUGCGCAGUCACGUUUAUCGUUAGUGAAUUCCAUCGAGGCUCGUUGGCGGAGACGUGAGGGCGGGUAAACGGUGGUGUUUCGUUACCACUGAUGGCGGAUCGGUGCCACGUGGCCGAGAUUAAUGUGUUUUGAUUUUUGGACUUUGUAUUAUAACCGUCGUAAGCCUACCCCGUCAUCGCAUACGAACGUUCUCGCACGGCAUGGUGCCUCGUCCUGACGUACUCCACGUGGUGCUAGCUCGCGUUAUUCUUCUCUCGUGAAUCCUCUAGAAUCCUCCUGGAAAAUCGCAUCGAUCUUUCUGACACGCGACGGAUAUUUACCGUGGAAAUAUUUGAAAAAAAAAAUGAUGCGAUUCCUUUCGCGAACAGCGAAAGUUUCCGAGUCGUAAGGGUUUAGAAGAAAGGAGAAAAGGACGGGUUGCUUGCUAUACGCGUCGUUUCAAUUUAUCUCCCGUUUUUUAACGUUUCAAUUUAAUUAACGACACUCGAGCGAGCUAACGUCGGUCGCAUGGACGAUGGGAGUGGGAGACGACCCGAUUAAUUCCUUUGUCGCCUAUCCGCCGUUGAAAUAACAAACCUCUUCGACGGACGGGAGUCGAGAGGAUACAAGGACGAUAAAAUCACGAGGGUUCACGGGAUAAAAAGGCGGCUCGAGGAGGAUGAGGAACGAGGAGGGUGGCGACGGGCAGAGAGGAAACGAUGAUCGAGAAUGGAAGAGUGGAGUAGGGACGGUUUGUGGACCUCCGACACUCUCUCCCCCGCCUUCAUUUUCCAGGACAAAACGCAGAAAAGAAUCUAAUAACGCGAAGAGGAGAUCCAGUUUCGCCAUUAUUCCGUCGACUCUCGAAAUACGGGAGUGAGAGCCUUGGAUGAGGACGAAAAGGAGGAUAAGAGGAGAAAGAGGAUGAGGGAAGUAGAAGGUCUGUAGUCUCCUGUCGGGAGCAAAACGUCACGAAGGAAGCCCCGGUUUAUCGAGAAUUUUGAGAAUGGUAAUGUAGAGGGUAAGAGAGCCGAAUUCGCAGACGGAGGAAAGAGGAAGGCGCAGAGUCGUGGGAAGAGGAAAGGGAAGAAGCGGAAAGGUAAGAAAGGGAGAACUUCUCCGGGUCUCUCCAAGUAAUCCUGCUGCCGGUAGAGGAGAGGGAAGAAGGUAGGAGAAUAUAGGAUGAAAAUACCUGGAGUUAGAGAGGUCUUACUCGACUCACCCUCGCGCUUUCUCUCUCUCUCUCUCGCUCUCUCGUCACCAUCUCCGACCAGGCUUUCUCGUACCGCACAGCACACGCCAGUUGGUCCCAAAUAAGACAAAAGUCAUCAUAUAAUUCCACGGCUAAUACUCGGCUCGCAUUAAUUUCUCGCGAGCUUUGCCCAACUUCUUUUCGAAUUUCUUUCGAGGAAAAGUUGUAUCAACGAAUACCACCUUCUAACGUUUCUGACUUUAACUUGUACGCAAAGAAACCACUCGAUAGGAGGGAAAACUUUGACUAACUGUGGAAAAUUACCAACGAUAGGAUUACUCGAACGAUUACGCGAGAUAUUCAAUUGCGUCGCAGUUGUCGAGAACGGCUUCCACAUUUACGAUUGACAAUCGUAAGGCACAUGAUGCGGCUCGAUUAUUCUAAUUCUAAUCUAAUUUCUAAUGGAUCGCAUCUCUUUUAUCGUUGUUCGUUGUUC